AGUCGAGCGGUAGCACAGAGAGCUUGCUCUCGGGUGACGAGCGGCGGACGGGUGAGUAAUGUCUGGGAAACUGCCUGAUGGAGGGGGAUAACUACUGGAAACGGUAGCUAAUACCGCAUAACGUCGCAAGACCAAAGUGGGGGACCUUCGGGCCUCAUGCCAUCAGAUGUGCCCAGAUGGGAUUAGCUUGUAGGUGGGGUAACGGCUCACCUAGGCGACGAUCCCUAGCUGGUCUGAGAGGAUGACCAGCCACACUGGAACUGAGACACGGUCCAGACUCCUACGGGAGGCAGCAGUGGGGAAUAUUGCACAAUGGGCGCAAGCCUGAUGCAGCCAUGCCGCGUGUAUGAAGAAGGCCUUCGGGUUGUAAAGUACUUUCAGCGAGGAGGAAGGCGAUAAGGUUAAUAACCUUGUCGAUUGACGUUACUCGCAGAAGAAGCACCGGCUAACUCCGUGCCAGCAGCCGCGGUAAUACGGAGGGUGCAAGCGUUAAUCGGAAUUACUGGGCGUAAAGCGCACGCAGGCGGUCUGUCAAGUCGGAUGUGAAAUCCCCGGGCUCAACCUGGGAACUGCAUCCGAAACUGGCAGGCUAGAGUCUUGUAGAGGGGGGUAGAAUUCCAGGUGUAGCGGUGAAAUGCGUAGAGAUCUGGAGGAAUACCGGUGGCGAAGGCGGCCCCCUGGACAAA
rnacentral:rRNA from 1 species